GACGAACGCUGGCGGCGUGCCUAAUACAUGCAAGUCGAACGCAGUGGGGACGGGUGAGUAACACGUGGGUAACCUCCCAUCAGAGGGGAUAACACUUGGAAACAGGUGCUAAACCGAUACUGAUGGAUGGACCCGCGGUGCAUUAGCUAGUUGGUGAGGUAACGGCUCACCAAGGCCACGAUGCAUAGCCGACCUGAGAGGGUGAUCGGCCACACUGGGACUGAGACACGGCCCAGACUCCUACGGGAGGCAGCAGUAGGGAAUCUUCGGCAAUGGACGGAAGUCUGACCGAGCAACGCCGCGUGAGUGAAGAAGGUUUUCGGAUCGUAAAGCUCUGUUGUUAGAGAAGCGGUAACUAACCAGAAAGGGACGGCUAACUACGUGCCAGCAGCCGCGGUAAUAC
rnacentral:rRNA from 1 species